rnacentral:lncRNA from 1 species
UAAUUGAUGUUGGGCUUAUGGUGAUGGCUUACAAGUGACUUGUGGUUUUAUUUGGGCUAUUGAAUAUGGGCCGUUAUAAUUGUUAUUGGGCUUGUAGUUGGGAUUGUGUGAAAUGGGUUUUAAACUAGAAAUUUAAAACAAGGCCUAAGGGCCUAAAUUGUAAUUAUUUCUCCAAGGGCCUUAAGCGUAAUUUUUUGAAGGGAAUAACGCGUAAAAUUCCC